rnacentral:rRNA from 1 species
ACCGGCGCACGGGUGAGUAACACGUAUCCAACCUGCCGUCUACUCUUGGACAGCCGGUUCUGAAAGGAAGAUUAAUACAAGAUGGCAUCAUGAGUCCGCAUGUUCACAUGAUUAAAGGUAUUCCGGUAGACGAUGGGGAUGCGUUCCAUUAGAUAGUAGGCGGGGUAACGGCCCACCUAGUCUUCGAUGGGUAGGGGUUCUGAGAGGAAGGUCCCUCACAUUGGAACUGAGACACGGUCCAAACUCCUACGGGAGGCAGCAUG